CAGACAGUAGAAGUGAAUCAGGAAAUGUCUUUCAGACACUUGUUGGACCGGUUUCACCGUCACUGACGUGUUCAGACUGUGAGGCUGUGAGGAAGUGACGGCGUCCUCAGAUCAGAUUGUGUCAGACAGCAGGACUGAGGAGGACCAGGAGCAGCUUCUUCUCCACACAGGAAGCUGGAAAGUGUCUGUGUGAGCUCUGCUAUGAGUCAGUGUGAGGACAGAGAGGAGGGAGUCCCUCCCUCUAAAAGACCUAAGUGUGGGGACCAUGAGAGCCGGACCAAAGCUCAGAGAACAAAGCAGCAGCACACUGCACACUCUGCUGGACCUGGACCUGGACCUGGACCUGGACCUGGACCUGGAGCUGGACCUGGACCUGGACCUGGACCUGGACCUGGACCUGGGCCUGGACCUGGACCUGCCAGCUGUGUGUCCAUGAAGAGUGAUUGGUCAAAGGGUCAUCCCAUUAAUUUCAAAGAUGUUGAUCCAUCUGAGGGUCAAAGGUCAGAGUUAAUGUCACAGCUGCAGUUUGUUUCCAUCAUUAUUAAACAUUUAAAGUGUAACAUGAUGUUCAGCAUCAUUU
ensembl:lncRNA